CUUGUUGUUGCUCUGUCUUGAAUCGCUCGCUUGUUGUGGAAGGAAGCGGCUAGUUCUGUUAGCCUCGUUAGCUUUGAGUGUGUUUAGACGAUAGUUUACUGUAGUUAUUUGUUCCUCCGGUGGUUUCCAUCAUGGCGUACCAGCUGUACAGGAACACCACGCUGGGAAACAGCCUCCAGGAGAGUCUGGACGAGCUCAUACAGACUCAGCAGAUCACUCCUCAGCUGGCUCUUCAGGUCCUCCUUCAGUUUGAUAAAGCAAUCAACACGGCGCUCGCCAGUCGGGUCCGCAACAGAGUUAACUUCAGGGGCUCCCUGAACACCUACAGGUUCUGUGACAACGUGUGGACGUUUGUCCUCAACGACGUGGAGUUCAGGGAGGUGACGGACCUCGUGAAGGUCGACAAGGUUAAAAUUGUUGCUUGUGACGGAAAGAGCGAGUCAACUCAAAACAAAAUGGAUAAAUGACUCCAGAGUGAUGACUGUCUCUUCACGUGUUCUGAUGGAGUCACAGAUGGACCUGGACUGUACAUAUAAUUUAUUACAGCAGAGUCACAGCUGAGAACUGUGUGUGUGUGUGUGUGUGUGUGUGUGUGUGUGUGUGUGUGUGUGUGUGUGUGUGUGUGUGUGUGUGUGUGUGUGUGUGUGUGUGUGUGUGUGUACAUGCUGCAGUAUGUUAUGUUGAAACGUGUCUCCAGGGUCGACACACAUGUCCCGUCACGUUCACAUGAUCUGAUCAUGAGCCGACUGUCAGCAGGUGGAGUUACAACAGCCAACAUGGCCGACACCUCUGCGACACCUGGAGACGUUUCCAGCUGUUGUCUGUGGUCGUGGCAACCAAAACACAUUUUUAAAUCCAAACAAGAAUUCGAGCUCCUGCACUCUGUUCACUUCACCUGCACAAAGAAUUCAUUCUAACAGCACCGUGUCAUCAGGUCAGCUCCUCACCUGUGCAGGGUGGAGUGAAGGAUGGCGGAUGUUUGAACAGUAAUCUAGUUUUCUCGCUGACGGACAGCAGAGACACUGUAGGAGUGUUUCUGAAUUUGCAUUUUAGUGUUUUAGUGUGAAACCUGAUGAUGCUGUGUGUGAAUGAGCUGCUGCCAUUAUUAACAUGACAGAUGCUGGUGGAGCAUCAGAGCCUGUAGUCUGUCUGUGCACUGCAACCACACACACACACACAC